rnacentral:rRNA from 1 species
GAUUUUUAUACAUUAAAUAAUUUAUAAAUAUAAGAUUAUUUUUUUUUUUAAUUUAAAAAUGUAUUUUAUUGGGGUAAUAAUAAAAUUUUAAAAAUUUUUAUUUUUUGAUAUCUAGUUAUAAUUGAUUUUUUGAUCCUGUAUUAUUGAUUAUAAAUUUAAAUUACCUUAGGGAUAACAGCGUAAUGAUUUUUGAGAGUUCUUAUCAAUA